rnacentral:rRNA from 1 species
GAAACCUGGAUUAAUACCGGAUAUCCUCGUAGGACCGCAUGGUCCAUCGAGGAAAUGCCUUUGUGCUGUGGGAUGGGCUCGCGGCUUAUCAGCUAGUUGGUGGGGUAACGGCCUACCAAGGCAUUGACGAGUAGCUGGUCUGAGAGGACGAUCAGCCACACUGGAGCUGAGACACGGUCCAGACUCCUACGGGAGGCAGCAGCAGGGAAUCUUGCGCAAUGGGCGAAAGCCUGACGCAGCGACACCGCGUGGGGGAUGAAGGCCUUCGGGUUGUAAACCCCUUUCAGGAGGGAUGAAAUUGACAGUACCUCCACAAGAAGGACCGGCCAACUACGUGCCAGCAGCCGCGGUAAUACGUAGGGUCCGAGCGUUAUCCGGAAUCAUUGGGCGUAAAGAGCUCGUAGGCGGUUCAGCAAGUCGGCUGUGAAAGUUCGAGGCUCAACCUCGAAAUUGCAGUCGAUACUGCUGUGACUCGAGUCCGGUAGAGGAGAAUGGAAUUCCCGGUGUAGCGGUGAAAUGCGCAGAUAUCGGGAGGAACACCAGUAGCGAAGGCGGUUCUCUGGGCCGGCACUGACGCUG